CCACGAGUAAAAUAUUAUUAAUUUCCAAGUAUCUUUUUAAGCCUAUAGGCUUUCGAGUUCUUGCGAACUUUGCAAUUUCAUGAGAGAGACGUCUGACUCGGAGUUCACACAAACCUUGCAAAUUCUUGCGAGUCGUUCGACAGAUUAAUUUCAGAAUUUGCGGCAUGAUACUGGAAGUGCCGAGUGUCUUAGAGUUUGGAGGGGGAUGUUUCUCAGUGCUUUAUAAACGCAUCACCGACGUGUUUUCGUUAUUUACAAUGGAGCGCACAAUAACGACAUUGCAACUGGAGGCGUUGGCCGCAUUUUUGAAAACGGAGCCGGGUGCAAUGCGCCAAUUAGGAAUCGUAUACGUGGCGGACGUAGCAAGAGUUCGUCGGGAGCGGGCGGCAAACAGGAAAAAUCUGGAAGAGCUGUGGGUCGAAGGAGUGCGAAGGCACUGUCAAAACAUCGACGUCUUCGACCUGCGAUAUCUAUUCGGAUAUGAAAUUGAUCCGGAUUGGUGGUAGUGUUUUUCUGCCUUCCGCUCGCCGCCACGAAUUCCUGCACGAAUUCGCCCGCCACGAUGAUCCGGAUUGGUGAUCCUGCUCCUUCCGCUCGCCCUUAUUAUAUAUCUUGAAAGAUGUUCACGACAUCUGUGGUCCUCUUCUUGGCAUCACACAGUGUGACGACUUCCGUAUCGCCGCCACGAAUUCCUGCACAAACUCGCCCGCCACGAUGAUCCGGAUUGGGUCUCAGAUUAUAACAAUAGAAGGCAUCGUACGAUUAGAAUGCGGCCCGUCGACGUAACAUCGGAACACGCGGACAAACUUUUAUCGUCCGUAUAUUCUAACAUAAAGAUUGUAGCUCCGGCCAAGUACAAGAUCGGUGAAC